UAAGCUCAUCAAGAUAGCGAAGAAUCUCCUGAAAAUCACUAAUUUCUCCACUGGCACCAAGAAGAGAAUGCUUCCCGAUAGGCUUAAUUCGCUCCACACUCUUGUACCGCAAGGUGGAUCCGUAAGAUGCUGGCAAUUUCAUGAUACAAUAGAAACUUUUGAUCACCAUUCAGCCUAGAUACAUUAUAAAUGGCAGAAAUGCACCAAAUACAGAUCAUCAAAAAAAAGUUAAAAGCAGCUCGGUUCCGGAGAAGAAAGAAUACAAUUCAUUCCAUCGGAUGGCAAGGAGAUAGGGAAUGUAAGAAACAAAAAGGAACAUGCAAGCCAUAAAAUACAAAGAGUCUUAACAGUACAGCCCUAUACUGUGCAGAAGCAACAUGGGUAAAGAUGAAAUUAAGCGCAAGAGUGCAGCAAAAAAAAAGGUAUAUCUCUCAAGUAUGUUUGCUGAGCACAAUGGACCCAAAGAGUUUCCAUCAUCCCACAUAUGUCAUCAGGCUGCAGAUUUUCAAACAUAUUAAUUAACAGUACCUUGGGACUACAAGCAAUACAAAUUAGAACAACCUCCCAGCUUUUUGUUGUCCACCACAACAUUUAGUUAAGAAAAUACAGCAUAAGUUUACAUAUAUGUUUACUCUUUUUCCCUUUUGUUUUUCAAUUCUACAGCAACCUAUACUUACAUAAGCUCAUCAAGAUAGCGAAGAAUCUCCUGAAAAUCACUAAUUUCUCCACUGGCACCAAGAAGAGAAUGCUUCCCGAUAGGCUUAAUUCGCUCCACACUCUUGUACCGCAAGGUGGAUCCGUAAGAUGCUGGCAAUUUCAUGAUACAAUAGAAACUUUUGAUCACCAUUCAGCCUAGAUACAUUAUAAAUGGCAGAAAUGCACCAAAUACAGAUCAUCAAAAAAAAAAGUUAAAAGCAGCUCGGUUCCGGAGAAGAAAGAAUACAAUUCAUUCCAUCGGAUGGCAAGGAGAUAGGGAAUGUAAGAAACAAAAAGGAACAUGCAAGCCAUAAAAUACAAAGAGUCUUAACAGUACAGCCCUAUACUGUGCAGAAGCAACAUGGUUAAGGAUGAAAUUAAGCGCAAGAGUGCAGCAGAAAAAAAGGUUAAUAUCUCUCCAGUAUGUUUGCUGAGCACAAUCUUCUUAUUUAAUAUGAAUAAAAAGAAUAAAUAUAGGACAUUCCACAGUGAUCAACACUAUCGUGCACUAUCUAGUUUCCAGAUGUGACACCUAGGCCAAAUAUAAUUUUCAUACAUUUCGUGCGAUGAGUGAAAACUUUAAAGACAUGCACCAAAAAGAAACCAGCCACAAAACCCAGCUCUGAUUGCUCAAGUAUAACAUCUUAAGUAAUUUUUGAGCUAAACAAAAUGAAAAACCACAUAAGUUCUAAAUCUUCAACAAGCUAUAAAGCUAGCAAGUGCUAACUCCAUUCUGAUAUGCUAGGAUUACAACCUAAUGGAGGAACUUUGCGAAAUAAACAUGACCAUGGAUGCAGAGAUUUUGGUUGCAUUGCAUGGAAAGAAGACACAAAAUCAAGUAAGUGACUCAUAGCUAAAUGAACAGCAGCAUUUUUAUGCUUAAAAAGAAAUAGCAUUAAUUACUUGAACACAAACUCAAACUAUGAUCUUAAUCUUUUAAUCCUUCCACAUAAUGAUGUCAAUAACAAGAAAAAAUACAUGGAAUGAAAGCAACAAAAGAGCUUUUUAUUUUUAUUUUCUAAGUGUCAAUGUAACC
rnacentral:lncRNA from 1 species